rnacentral:rRNA from 1 species
AGUCGAGUUGUUUGGGAAUGCAGCUCUAAGUGGGUGGUAAAUUCCAUCUAAAGCUAAAUAUUGGCGAGAGACCGAUAGCGAACAAGUACAGUGAUGGAAAGAUGAAAAGAACUUUGAAAAGAGAGUGAAAAAGUACGUGAAAUUGUUGAAAGGGAAGGGCUUUUGAUCAGACUUGGUGUUUAGUACUCUCUGCUCCUUGUGGGUGGGGCUCUUGCUUUAUACUGGGCCAGCAUCGGUUUUGAUGGCAGGAUAAUGACUUUGGAACGUGGCUUCAUUCGUGAAGUGUUAUAGC